rnacentral:rRNA from 1 species
AAUGAACGCUGACAGAAUGCUUAACACAUGCAAGUCAACUUGAACUUCGGUUUGGGUGGCGGACGGGUGAGUAACGCGUAAAGAACUUGCCUCACAGAUAGGGACAACAUUUGGAAACGAAUGCUAAUACCUGAUAUUAUGAUUAUAUGGCAUCGUAUAAUUAUGAAAGCUAUAUGCGCUGUGAGAGAGCUUUGCGUCCCAUUAGCUAGUUGGAGAGGUAACGGCUCACCAAGGCGAUGAUGGGUAGCCGGCCUGAGAGGGUGAUCGGCCACAAGGGGACUGAGACACGGCCCUUACUCCUACGGGAGGCAGCAGUGGGGAAUAUGGGACAAUGGACCAAGAGUCUGAUCCAGCAAUUCUGUGUGCACGAUGAAGUUUUUCGGAAUGUAAAGUGCUUUCAGUUGGGAAGAAAAAAAUGACGGUACCAACAGAAGAAGUGACGGCUAAAUACGUG